rnacentral:snoRNA from 1 species
UGACCUAUGAUGACAACUUCUCAAAAUUACCAUCUUUCGGGACUGAUUGGCAUUUUGUUGCCAUGCUGUUAUUCUGCAAUUCUGAGGUCU